GACCAAGGAUCCAUCUGUGUUCUGUCAGAGGGAUGUCAGGUUCGACAAAUCAGAGCAGCGCUUUCGAAGGAAGGCCUGAGUAAAGUCAGAGUUCAGAAUCUGGCAAAUGUACAAGGCAGACAGUUCAGGAGCAUCAUCAUCACCUCCGUUCACACCCGCGACAGCCUGGAAACCUCUCACCUGCCCGGUCUGGAGCUGUUCAACGACGCCC
rnacentral:lncRNA from 1 species